rnacentral:rRNA from 1 species
CAAACUGAAGAUGGCGACCGGCGCACGGGUGAGUAACACGUAUCCAACCUGCCGAUAACUCCGGAAUAGCCUUUCGAAAGAAAGAUUAAUACCGGAUAGUAUACGAAUAUCGCAUGAUAUUUUUAUUAAAGAAUUUCGGUUAUCGAUGGGGAUGCGUUCCAUUAGUUUGUUGGCGGGGUAACGGCCCACCAAGACUACGAUGGAUAGGGGUUCUGAGAGGAAGGUCCCCCACAUUGGAACUGGGACACGGUCCAA